rnacentral:miRNA from 1 species
UAGGGGCAGCAGAGGACCUGGG